rnacentral:misc_RNA from 1 species
AAAGUCGUAACAAGGUUUUCGUAGGUGAACCUGCGGAAGGAUCAUUAGUGAAACAUAAGAGUGCUGUUCAUUCAGGCUCGUUUUAACUAUCCAAUACACUUGUGCAUUUGAAAUCAGUUACCUAUCUCAUUCAUCUGGGCUUCGGUCCUUUGAAUUUAGGUAUACUACCAUUAACCCCAUUGCUUAUAAUAAGAGAUGAUGAUGUAUAAACCAUGAAAUUGAAAGUAACAACUUUCAGCAACGGAUUUCUUGGCUCUC